CGAACAGAAAGAACAUCUCCAUCAUCUCCCCAAUUAACUCCACCACUAACUGGCUCUCUUUAUCUUCGUCUUCUCCACCAAACAAAUGUAACUUGAAGAUGCGGACCUUCAGGCCAUGCACUACGGAGAGGAUGGUCAUCAAAUCAUCAUAGGUAUUUGACGGCGUGGCCCUCCACAAGCUCGAACCUGAACCUGCACAGGAUGCCCAAGAGCCAUCUUCAUAUCCAGGUACGUCGAGUCCUUGCGUGGGAAGAGCCGUCGUAUGUGCGUGGAACGCCCUGAACUUGAACAGCAUGCGCUGCAGAAAAUGUUAUUAUCUCUUAUCCACUACUCUGGCUGAAGCUAGCGGUGUUCGGGGCCAAAUUCUACUACUCGAUCCGUCCCAUCUGAUUCAUGUCGGGUAUUUCCUGAUUCCUCCAUGGCUCCAUUCAUAACCCUGCUCUACUAUCUUGCUAACUGUGAGGUUGUUUUACGUGGUUUGCUGAUUGUUUUUUGCCAGGCACAUAGAUGAAUGGGUGUUUGUACUAUUUGCUAUCCCAAUGAUGCAUGGUCAUUAGUUGUUCUUCAUGAUUGUUAUUCUUCAUGGGAGUACUCAUGCUGCUUUGUAGGGAGGUGCUUAUUAAAUGACUCCACACAAGCUUUGAAGCCCUGGAUUGGAACAAGGAACAUAAUUAGUUUUCUCUAUUAAGCAUUUGAUAUAGCUAUCAGGUGGUGCUAUUUCUAGUGAAUUUGUAAAAUUUGAUUGCUGGUGCCCUUUGCCAAUUGUCUUCAUGCUUCC
rnacentral:lncRNA from 1 species